CCCCUAGAUGUUCUGGGCCGCACGCGCGCUACACUGAACAGUUCAACAAGUCUUAACCUUGGCCGAUAGGUCUGGGUAAUCUUUGAACGCUGUUCGUGAUUGGGAUAGACCUUUGCAAUUAUGGGUCUUCAACGAGGAAUUCCUAGUAAACGCAAGUCAUCAGCUUGCAUUGAUUACGUCCUGCCCUUUGUACACACCGCCCGUCGCACCUACCGAUUGAAUGGUCCGGUGAAAUCUCGGGACGGCGGCUUGGUCGCUUGCGUCCGACUGCUGAAACUUGAUUAAACCAUAUCAUUUAGAGGAAGGUGAAGUCGUAACA
rnacentral:rRNA from 1 species